rnacentral:lncRNA from 1 species
CCCAAACCUUAAACUAGAUUUUUCUUCAUCUCCAUCUCGCAGCCGCCGGUGAGAACUCGUCGCCGAAGCUCCGACGGAAGUCGCAAGCGUGGAUAGAGAACCAAGGUGGUCUGCAAAGAUGAGGAUACAGCCGGAGCCGCCAUACAUUCUCCAAUUGACCGAUUACAAAAAAAUCUCGUAUAGAGGAACACCCACAACCAAACCAAAAAAGAUCUCAGCCGAGAAAACCCAGAUCUGUAGAGGUAGUUGCAGAAGACUACGAAAUCCUUCAUGGCAUGGCAAGGUAGAGAAGAAGAAGGAGCUUUGUUCGUGGUUUGAAGAUCUUGAGCAACAAAGGAAGACAAAAGCCUGCAAAUCAUCUUAAGAACGGAUCUGUGGUUAUAUCCUAGAGUUUUAGAUCUAAGAGAUGACCACAGAUUUGAUCUUCAAUGACCGAAAUCAAAGGCAAAACAAAGAGAAAUCACCACUAGGGGUGAGGAAUCACUAGAAGGAUGAGGAAUCACCACCUAGGUGAAGGAGAUCAAAGCAAAGAUCUAAGCAAAAGGAAGGCCGGAAGAUGAGAGAGUUUGAAGUUUUAACGAGAGAAACAGAAGGUUUACAUUUUUGUUACAGAAUAUUUGGCUCUAAAUUUUUCUUCAUUGCACAUAACUCGUUCAAUCAUUAGUACUGGAGAUAUACGUUUUGAUUCAUUAGUUCAUUACUAUGCUUUAACCCUCAGAACUCAUAGGUUCCCCUAAUUUAAUUUGUUAAUGUUGUUUUUCAAUUUUACUUCUUAUAAUGCUUCAGAAUUCGUUUGUCAUGGAUAGUACUUGCAGCUGAUAUGAUUUUGUGUUAUGGCAGCAACAUGAGAAAAUAGUAAAGGAAGAAGAUCAUGCAGUUGAACAAUGUGAUACUCCUCCAUCCAAGAACGACACCGAAAAGCACGAAAAGGAUAAUUGUGAAGCAGACAAUUUUGAAGGUUCGGAGACUUCUAUCACUAAAUCUGAAGAAACACAGGUGCUCAACCAGGUCGAGCCUCCUGUUGUUGUUGAGGCUGAGAAGGCUGAUCAUGUUCCAGUCCAAAAUGAGGAAGCAGAUCAUGAGUGUCAACCCCUUGAAGCGGUUGAAAAUGUGCCGGAGGGGGAGAAACCAUCAGUUGAAGCAGUUGAAAAGGAGGAGAAAAUAGCAAUUGAAGCAGUUGAGAAGGUGGAGCAGACACAAACUAUUGAAGCAAUUGAGAAUGAAGAAUCAGAGAAGGCACAGACUACUGAAGCAGUAGUUGAAAGUGAACCAGAGAUGACAAAACCUAUUGAAGAUGACAAGAAUAAACCAGUGGAGGAAAUAACAAUUGCAGUGGUUGACAAAGAAGCAGACCAACCACCUGUAGAGAAAGUAGCAAUUGAAGCUGUUGACAAUGAGCCAGAAACCCAAGCUAGUGAAGCAUGUGAGCAAAAAGAAGUGAAGAACAUAGCAAUUGAAGCAGUUGAGAAAGAAUCAGAGAAACAAGCUACUGAAGCUUGUGAGGAUAAAGCAGUGGAGAAAAUAGCAAUUGAAGCAGUUGAGAAAGAAUCAGAGAAGACAGAAGCCCUUGAAGCAGAUGAAAAUAAACAUGAAGAGACACCAACCAUUGAAGAACAGAUAGAUGAGAAGGCAGAAGUUGAAUCUGUUGAGUCUAAUCCAUCAAGUGCAAUAGUCAAGCCUGCUGAAGAAAAUGUUGAGGGUGAGAAGGAGACUACUACUGAUGAGGGAAAGACUGCUUGCGAGUUAACAACGAAUGAGGAAGCUCAAACGGUGGAGAAAGAUGCAGAUGUGGUUGAUAAUGUUAUGGAGGAGACAAUGCAGUGUGAAAAAGAUGCAGAGAAGGAAGAAGAGAGUUUGAAAGAAGCACAAGCAACUAAAGAGAGUGAUGAAAAAACUGAAGAAGCAUCAUUGGAACACGAAGUAGAGAAAACCGGGGAUACUACUAAUGAGCUUAAAGAUGCAACAGAUCAAGUUAUUGAAAAAACAAUAGAGGGGGAGCAGAAGAGUGAUAGAGAUUUAGUUGAGGGAUUAGUCAAAGAAGAUGAGUAUAAGGACAUUAAGGUGAAUGGAGAAGAAGCAAAAAACGAUUCCAAAACUGAUGCGACCCCAACUCUUGAGUCAUGCAAAGAUGGUGAUCAUGAGAUUCAAACAUCGAAAGACCAAGUACAAGAUGUUUCAGCUAAACCAGCACAUAAGCAAUCAGGUAACAAUAUCAUAUCAAAGGUGAAGCAAUCUUUAGUGAAGGUGAAGAAAGCUAUAAUUGGGAAAUCUCCCAGCUCAAAAGUCCUUUCACCAGAAAUCAAAGGAGAUCAAGAAAAUGUGAAAUAGUCUCUAGGUGGCUGAUUGAAUUGGUGUGCCUCAUUUGGUGUACACAGGAGGCCAAGGACCAUGCUUUCUUUUUGUUUGGUGUGGGAUUUUGCAAGAUUUUGUAGUAAUUACUUGUGUUUGUUUUGGGUCAGAACUAUGUGAUUUUUGAAAUGUAAUUACAUUGUACUCUGUAAUGAAUUGUUUUGUUCUUCUAUUUCAUUUUUAAGUUAUAGUCAUUGUUAAUUACAUGAAACUGUAAUAAUAUAUUAUCACCUCAUGAUAUAAAGGAAUUUCAUUUUCUUUGUUAGAAAACAGAAGAAUGAGCAAGCCUGGAAAAGGGAUCCUGCCCCACAUUCCCAGCAAAGGAUGCAACUCACUCAAAUGCCUUCCUAUAUUUGACUGAGAAUGAAAAGUAGCAUCAGAUUAACCUUUCUAUAUAGAUUGGGGAAUUUAGUAAAAGAAUAAAGUAUAAAGGAGACUGAAGAGGUUCUUCAAUACAAUGGGGGCAAUGCCCUUUAUUGGGUUCACAAAUUCUGAGAGAUAGGAAAGAAAGAAGGAACAUGAACACAAUAAAAUAGAAAAUGACCUGUGGGUGAGAAUGGGGGGCAGUACUAAUUACAUGUUGGGAGCUUAGGUUGGUCCUAAUCAACCAGAAUCCAAGGCCAAAGCAAAAACCUAUGGUACCCUGACUACCCUCAAAAUCUCUUAAUUUCAAUGUCUUUUGUUAGCUAAUUAAGCUAGGCUGGAGGAAACGGAAACAUAUAUAGAUCAAAAGGUGACAGUAGCAUAUGUAUAAGGAAUUGAAAUUAAGAAUACAUAUAUGGCAAGCUAGGCUUGAGUUGUACACAAAGUGCACAAGAAGAUCAAUGUCAUUGGAGUAAGAGAAAGACAUGCCAGAAGAGCCACUAGCUAGGGAGGAGGAGGCUGAGCCAGACCGAAGCAACAUUGGGGGAACAACCUUUUCUUUUACCCUUCUGAUUCUAAAAUCUUCUUCUACCUUUCUUGAGGAUCAAGCUUGCCUACUUGUCCCCCCUGUAUUUCUCUUUCAACUUUCUAAGUAUAUAUCCCUACAAAUAAACCCACAAAACUGUAUCAUUUACAUGCCAAUUUCAUCCCAACAUUUUGAGUGGGAGGCAAAUUUGGGGGAUGAACCCACCUCGACCUUGCACCACUGCACGUCUCAGCGAGGCAAAGAAAAAAUUGGAUGCUUCUUCUCCGAAACCCACAUAGUUAAUUUGAAUAAAUGAACAACCUGUUACUAUUGGGGGGAAAUUAUCCAGUCCGAGGUCAGAUCAUAUAUACCUACGACGUAUAAAAAGACUAAAUUGUUGGAAUGUUGGAACAAACCGCAUGAAUAAUAAAGGUGUUUGUCCUGGGACAUUUCAACAUGUCUUGUGCAAUAUGCAUGACGAUUCAAGAUUGACCAAACCAGGAAUGAAUGUUGGGAAGUUACUAGUAAUCCACAUGAUGAUCGGUGAGCCUCCCUUGUUUGGCAAUUCAUCGAAUACUUUAUUUGCAUAUUUUUAAUGAUAAAAGUAAACACAUAAUCAUGUAGGAUAAAACGAAUAAAAUUACAGUUAAACGUUUGCUUUCACAUAACCACAAAUUAUAAACUAAAAUUUUUCAGUUUACACGCGGAAACAAAUUAUAUAAGAGUUCUAUAUUCUCUCAUCGUAUUCAUCAUUAGUUCAAGUCAAGUCAUGGGCACAUCUUGAAGACUAGAGCGAAUGGAAUGAUUAAACUCACAUAACGACAUAGCUAAAGUUUGUAAGUGAUCCUAAAGUGGUAACAAUGAGAUCCAAAUAUGGCAUUUGUAAUUUUUGGCUUCCAAAAACUAAUUAUAAGUCGAUGAAGAAGUCAUGUGUGGUGGUGGGUUGAUACUAAGUAGUAAGGCGUUGGGUGCUGAAAUUAGUUGAUUGCAUGUUUCAUAAAGUUGGGGUCAUGUCUUUGCUUUCGAGAGACGUUGUAGUCUUGGAUUAGUUCUAAAGUCUUUGAAACAAUUUCUUCAAAACACCUCAUCGUCAUCGAACCCUCCUACGACUUUUUAUUAGUUUCAAACCUUAUGUCUAUCUUUGUCUCCCUUCUAUUCCAUUCUUUGCUUUAAUCUCUCCUUCUUUGCUUCCUACGUUUUUCCUCGAUUUUCAAUGGAUAUAGUAAAGUCCCAAUUAAUUUCAUGACACUAUUGCAUGUCUCAUGAUACUAAUGUUUUCAUAUGUGUAAUUCUAGCCAUUUUCACAUACCUGAAACCGGAAUAAUAAUAAUCAUAACGAGUAUGGACAUAGGAAAAACAAUCGACACUUUUUUCUUAAGCCGAGAUUAUUAGAACGCACAUUUUAACCUAGCUACAACACUCAACCCUUGAUGUGUUUUCUUUUUAAUUAUCUCCGGCUUUUCAUAUUUAAUUUCACGAAAAAAUUACUCUCUUCUUAUAUAUAGUUUUUUUUUAAUUAAAUAAAAAAUUAGACGAUAUUAGCUCCUCUUAUAUAUAACUAAUUAUAUAUAAAGAAACACAUAUAUACAUAAACAUUCGACUUAUAACCGUUUUCGACUUACACUCAUGAUGAUUUCAUAAGAGAGUGACUUCACCAAUCCCGUGAGGAGUAUAAACAUUAUUUUUCAACUAGCUUCUCAAAAUCAUUUACCUCGAAUCAUCCCUCUAUUCGAUCAUGGUAAGUUCAUUUUCUCACGUGAGGUAUGUAAUCAAAUGAAAGCGUGUUGCCAACAUGAUACAUGAUUUUAUAUCUUGUCUGAUGGGGUGGUGGGAAAGCAAUCACUUGCUCACUUUACAAACCCCAUAUAUUGUUCAUCCAAUUGAUUAAUCAAAAGUUUAAUACAUACUCAUUUCAGAAAUCUAAUAAGAAUUAAACUUAGGGUUCAGAAUAUGACUAUGAGGGAGAAAUGUGAAGGGACAAGGAAUGUGCAUGGCUGAAGGUUGUCCUGGUUUGCUGGUUAAGCUUAGUUUUAUUUAAAGACCUGUGUAGGCUAAUGUGACCAUCUUUGCUUUGUGAUUUGAUCCCUAUUGAGCUCAUUUUCUGUAACAAACAUAAAGCCUAUUGAGUUGUUUAGUCUUAAAAAGACAAUUAAGAAAAAAAGAGAGAAAAAAGAGAGCCAAGGCAGAUCAUCUGCCCUCCAAAGAAGAGAAUGUGAACUUUAGUAUCUGCUUCUUUGUCUCCACUAGCCAACUCUCCCUAACUUCCUCAUCUUCCCUCCAUGAAUUGUUUAAUUAUCAAAAAAGUUGUCAAAAUUAAAAGUUGUUUUGGUAAUCAAGUUCCUAAGUUUGUUGGACCCUGUGUGUUUAGAACUAUAUAUUAAGGAGUCUGGAAACUGGUUUAACAUAUGCUAAACACAAUUAUCAUUGAACAGAGCAGACUAACACGUACACUAACAUAAUUACUUAGUACACCAUUCUCAGUAAUCUAAUAUAUUGGGGUAUCAGAAGUUCUGGACCAUUGUUGUAUAUAUGUGUUUUCUUUGGUUUAUUUCCUUGAAUUUGCAAUCAUCAUCAGUUUCUUUAACUAUUGAAAUAUGCUAGUUAGCUAGCAAACAAUCAAAUCUUAAUCUAGAAAGAAAAUUGAUAAUACAUUGGUCAUGCCCUUCUGCUCUUGUCGUUUUCAUGGAUGCAAAUGCAAUGGAUUGUCCUUGACUAUUAUUAAGCAAAAAUAAAUAAAUAAAAUGAAUUCAGCUACAUGGAAGCUUAUGAUUUAAUUAACAAUUCGUGGUUACAUCUGAUGUCAUUCACUUUGUAGAGUCGAAACUCAAAACCAUACAACGUGAGAGUUCAAUUGGUCAACAUUUCUCAAAAACCCUAAAUCCUAAACAGCAAAAAGCAAACCAAGUAUAUGACAUAAACUUGACUUCUAGAUUUGUACAAUUUCGAAAAUCAUCUAUCUAAUGAAUCUGAUUUGUUAACUCGUCAAAUUAUUACAUAUAAAUAUGAUGAGAUUAUAAGAAUGUAGAUUUCGACCCUAAAAUCCUCUUCUAAACAAUUGUCAUACUAAUACAUACGACUACAAUAAUGUAUAUCGAAUUAUCAUUCAAUACGAUAGAGAGAGGAGGACUCAAAAAAACAAAAGAAAGAAUAGUACUAAAAAAGAAUUUAAAAAAAGAAAAAGAAAGAAGAAGAAAAAAAAGUGGACAUGUGGACCAACCCGGGUAACAAAUCGGUUGUCAAAUUGACUUAGAGUCUUCUUCCUCUGUUGUUGAAGGAAUGAGUUGCUCAGUUGUGUGUAUAUAUUAGUCAUGUAGAGACUGUAGAGUAUUAUAUUUCUCUCAGGGUUUCCUGGCCUGAGUUAUCGGCUUAUUUUCAUCCCAUUUUAACACAUCCUAUAUCUUCACUCUCAAGUCUCACAAUAUCCUCUGAUCUGAGUACAAAAAUGGGAUUAAGGGCUGCUGCACAUUCAUCAUCUUCUUCCAUAGACAGCAGCAACCAUCCUGAUCUUGAUGGUCUUCUGAUUCCUAAGCCUUCCGGGUCGUCGUCUUCUUCCUCUCUCUCUCACAAAAUCAAAAUCUUCAAUGGUGGUACUAAUUCUCGUAACAGUCGCAGAAGCAGUCAUACCAGAACAGAUUUGAGCACUGAUCUCAGACUUGGCCUCAGCAUCUCACCUUAUCAUCACUCUGACUUGUCUUCCACUACUUCAAGCCCAAGGUAUGUGUUUCUAGGCUUGUAGCUCUAUUACUCUGUUAUUCCCAAAUGGAUAUUGCUUAGUGUUGUUGGCUAAUAAAUCCUCUGUAUUGUUCUGUUCAAAAUUCUUCUUCAGGGAAGAAGCAUUGUUAAGCUGGCCGCCGAUCAAAUCGAUCUUGAGGUGCACACUUUCAGGCAAAGCAGAGAAUUUCCAUCAUCAAAAUUCUUCUCUAUUUGUGAAGGUGUACAUGGAGGGAAUCCCAAUUGGUAGAAAAUUAAAUCUGUUUGCUCAUGAUGGUUAUGAUGCUUUGAUCACAUCUCUGAGCCUCAUGUUCAAGACCACCAUUCUUUGUAAGUUGACACAAACACAUCUUGUUAUAUAGGAACUCGAAUUUUUGGAUCAAAAAUAAUAUUUGGGUUAAUAUUAAUUUCUCUUUCUUGCUUUUUGGUUAAAUGCAGGUCCUGAUAAUAAUCAUGUUCAUUCAGAGAAAUAUCAUGUCUUAACGUAUGAAGAUCAAGAAGGGGAUUGGAUGCUAGUGGGUGAUGUGCCUUGGGAGUAAGCACCUAAAACCCAACUCUAAUUCUUUUACCUAGUUCAUAAAUUUUCAAAGGCUAGCGACUUUCUGCAUCAAUUUUAGCAUUAUCCAAUUUGGAGUGCAGAAAUUAAUCGCCUUCCUUUCCUAAAUAACACAAAUUGUGUUUUUAAAAUGUGGUUCACCUAGCAUUUCUCUAACACAUACUGUGUCUCUAAUUUUAUUUCUUGAAACAGGAUAUUCUUGACUACGGUGAAAAGACUGAAGAUCACUAGAGCAGACAGAUGUUAGCUACAUUAUAUUGAUUUGUUCAUCUUUACUUACUAUCAGACUCAGAGUUGUCUGCCCUAAUCCAGUUUUUGCCUUAUUGGUGGUUCAAACUUCAUACUCAAACACUGUGUACAGCAUUAAUAUCAUAACAGAGAUUAUACUUGUUUCCCUCUUUCUGGGUUUUUCUUUUUCCCCCAUCAAAACCAAUCAUUGCAGGGUAGGCAAGGUUGUUACAAAGGGGCCAUACAAGGGCUUCAUUUUUUUCAUUUUUCUUCUGUGUUCCUUUCGCAUUGUUAGGUGAGAGAUCGAUGUUGUCACUACAAGAAAGAUUGCUGCCAUUGAAAUCUCUGUUAUAAUUCGGAAACUAUGAUCGCUCUUCAUCAAGAAAGGACUUGGUACACGUGUUUUCUUGUCUCCCAUGGGAGCUUUAGACGUGCACACCAUCCAAAAGGAUUUCGAUUCAUUCAAACUUGGACAAUAACAUUGAUCAUGUAUACUUGAUCUGUAAUCAUAAUGUAGAGGACUGCGUGAAUAUAUACAAUGAAUUUGAUCGCCCAAUUUCUUGAAACGUGGGGGUGGCUGUGGUGGUGUCUUGAAAGGCAAGAUGAAUAGCUGUGCUUCAUCAUACGUAAACUUGGAAGAGCAUAGGUGUUACUUAUUAUUUCUAGUAAUUUUUGGCAGGCCAUUUUGAUUAGUGCUGAAUAGAAGAGGAAUCUUAGUAGGUAAACCAACCACUAAAGUUGUGAUUAGUGCAAAAAUGGAAAAUGGUGCAUUGCCAUUUCCUAUUUGAAUGUUUUGCAUGACUACAAGUUUGAAUUGAAAUUAAGGUUUAGCUACCAAGUUUAGCCUCCACAUCAAUGAUGUAUAGUGGUGAGUGUCACUGUUAGGUAUCUGAUCACUAUAGGAAUAGGAACCUCUUGGGGUAUUUUCUUUUUUCUUUUUUUAGGAGUGAACUUCACACUCUACUAAAGUUUCAAGUACAAUUUAGCCUCUUCUUUUUCUGGUUGUGCUUUCUUUAUUUGUUAUAAUCCAGAUUCUUACUCCAUCUCUUUGUGUCUCUCACCAAGUCACCAUCUUGGGAGGAAGAGAUGCAGAUAGCCAAUACCAAAAAAUUAAGUGUUGGGUCGUAGACUUGUUAGUGAGUCAGAUAUCACUUUUAUCGAUCUAAACUUGGAUCAAACCGAUUAUAGAUAAAAAAAUUUAAUCUUGGUACGUGGGUAAACUAGCUUGAAAAAUCAACUAACUACUCGAAACACAUUAUAAGAGAUAAGAGACCUUAAUGAACUAAAAGAAAAAACUUAUCUAAUUAUGGCUGGUCAGUUAGAACGACAUUUGUUCAGAAAAAUAAUAAACAAAUAAACUAAAUACUGAAAAAAGCCUCAUGUUAUAUCCUUCUUAAAUUGUAAUUAAAUUUUUUUUAAAUAAACACGUGUCUAUUUGUUAUUGGCUUUGGUUAGCUUGACAUGGUCAGGCAAGUCUGGCGCCUGAACUAAAACAUAUUACAUAUUCCAACGUUCAUGAUCACUUACAUCUAGAGCAUAGGCUGCUAGUUGAUGUGCUACACGAGUACAAUAACAAGGUUUAUAAUGUCAAACAAACAUGGAUAAAGACUUUACUAAUUUACUUAGUAGCUGGGUGCCAGGUGCCCAUUUGGGACCAAACUAGAUUUCCCUUCUUAAGCAUCAUAUUCUAAAAAGAUAGAAUAGAGUUUCACUCAUAUGUCAAUUUAAACGCCGACGAGAUUACAACAAUCUCAACAUACAUAAGAGAGAUAAUGCUAGACACAUCUUGUAACACAAAGAAUAAUUCCAGCCUGCAAAACAAAAAAAAUACCAUCUACAUGACUACAUUCAUGUUGAGGAACCAACAAAAAGAGGAGACAUGGUUAACAAACAAAUUUGUAUUAGAAAAAAAAAAGGAUUAUUUAGUGAGGGAUUGUCAAACUAAAUUCAUGAGUUUGAACCAAAGUGUUAGUAUAGACUUAGUUCAACCACAGUUUGAUCCUCACUAUCAGUAGUCUUGUGUAGCGGUCGAGCCAUAUGUGAAUCUCUUGUAAAAAUCUAUACUUGGAGGCUAUGAAGACAGGUUUGUGUCAUAUGUUCAAUUCUUUGUAGUUGUGGUUAUAGAUCUCCUAUUUUACGAAGGUUUAAGAUAGCAUUCCUUUCUCCUAAUUGUUUUUUUUUUUCUAACCAAAAAAAAGAAAAAGAAAAUAAUCACUAUAAGGGCCGAUCCAAAUCAAUGAGGGCACCCAAUACCCACAAUAUCCAAAAUAGAUCCGCUCAUAAAAGCGCCAGCCGCGUAGGAAGAAGAAGAAAAAAUUCAAACUUUGCUCUCAAACCAUGAAAGGCCACGCUCCCAAAGGCACUGUCAAGAAGUUCAGAAUGUAAGCUUCUUCUUCUUCUUGUUCUAUCCCUCUAUUCGUUUCGGUCCUUUAAUUCUUGGUCACAAUUCGCAGGCCCACUUCCCAGAAUCUAGUCCCAAUUCGCGUCGAUUUCGAAGUCGAAGGCCAGAGGUUCAAAGACACCUUCACUUGGAACCCAUCUGGUAAAAAUUAUAAAGUUUCAUUCUUUAUCUGCUGUUCUUCAUCUUUGUGUUUUUUAAAGUUUUGGGUGUGGAGAAUUUGUUGAGUUUAUGAUGAUUGGCGACAGACCAUGAUAGCGAGAUUGUCAAGUUUGCGAAAGCAACAGUUAAAGACUUGAAGCUGUCUUCCAAUUACGAGAAAGCCAUUGUUAAUUCCAUUCAGGUUUGGUAUUGGUUCAAUUCUUUUAAAUUGUGUCAAUUUAAGUUUGUAGUGGUAAUAAUAAUGGAUUGAUUAUGACUAUGGUAUGUGGUAUCAGAGCCAAAUUGAGAUUUUCCGAUCGUUCCAAGGCCAAGAUAUGUACACCGGCGAGAGGAUUGUUCCGAUUAAGGUCACUCUUAUCAUAUUUUAGAUUAUGUAGAAUUUGUUACUGCAGUGGAAAGUUGCUAAAUUUUGAUGCUUUUGGGUUUAGUAGCGAAUUAUGAUGAUGUUUUGUUCUCAGCUUGAUCUUCGUGUGAACCAUACUCUCAUCAGGGACCAGUUUUUAUGGGUAAAGCUUCAACAAUUUCUUGUUUCUUCAUAGCAUUAGAAUACCUCUUGUUGUUGGCUUGAGUUUCAGAUGUAUUUUGGUUGGUUUCAGGACUUGAACAACUUUGAAAGUGAUCCGGAGGAGUUUGCUAAAACCUUGUGUGCAGAUUUAGGUGUUCAUGACCCUGAAGUUGGUGUAAGUCCUUGCAUUCUUUAUCAUUUUUCGUAUAACAAAGGUAAUUUUUUUCAUUAGUAAGUGCAAGGCAUUGUGAUUAAGACUUAAGGUUUGUGUUAAAGUUGGAACCUUGAUCACUUUCAGUGUGCUAAAAGAAGUAAUUCUCUUAUUGCAGCCUGCAAUUGCUUUUGCUAUUAGAGAACAGCUGUAUGAGGUUAGAUUUUAUUGCUUCUUUUGUACCUCACAUGAGGUACAUAGUAUGUUCAAAUAAUCUAAUUGUAGUCGCAGUUCAGUUAUUUUUGUAUUUCAUAUUGUAGAUUGCAGUCCAAAAUGUAGCUUCAGCAAGAGAAAGCAGACUAGCCAAGAAAGGGCGUCGAGGGGGUGAUCAUACUCCACUCAGGUAUGUGAUGAUCUUUUUGGUUUUUGUUUGUUUUUUUAAGAACACAUUUUCUUUUCUCCUCCUGGAUGACAAUUUAUUUUACGCCAUUAAUAGGGAAUAUACACUGUAACACUUACGUGAUGAUACAUUUUUCAUUAUCUCUUUCUCAGUAAAGCAAGUAGUACCGGAUUGGACCUGGUCAAGUCAUUUGGUCACAAAUCUACUGUCAUUCGGUAUGUCAUCUCACUCCACUAAGUUUUAGAAAUUUAUUUGCUUGUGAAGUCGGAAAGUUCCAUUAUCUUUUUGUUAAUGAAACUGAAUAUACACUAUUUGUCCGUUCGUGGGAGUGUUUAUGGUUCCUGUGCUAUUUACAUUUAAAAUACCUUUUCAUUCAAUAAGCUUGCGCUUCCAGUUGCAAAUAUAAUGUCUUCAUUACAGAUACCUGUCUAAAGGCCUUUGGAAGACCACAACAAUGUACUUUGUGUACUUCUCUUUGGCCAUUAGAUCGGCCAGGGCUAGCUAUACUAUUGAAGCUACUGUCUCUGUCUUGAACGAACAGUUUCUGUUUUAUCAUAAAUAUAUGAAAUGGUGAUGCUAGAUUAUUAUCGACUGGGAUAUAAUACGGCCAAACUAUCUGGAACAGAAGGCUGAAAGAUAUAAUAGCAUGAUAUAUGCACUCACAAUCAUGUUUGUGCCAUUUACAGACUUUCUUCACACAGCUUAUUUUGUAUGAAUUGUUCCACUUAAAGAAAGAAAAUGCUUGAUGAAAGGCAGUGGGCCUGUAUUUUGAACCUCCAAAGUGAUUCAUUUUAAUGAAUAAAUAAAUGAUUGAACCACCUGAGUAUAGAAGUACCCAUAACACUGGAAAAAGCAAAACCUUUAUGGUCAUGCUUUAGAGUUUAGCCUUCAUAGCUAGUGAAAAAACCAUGGUGAAUACUUUGUUUGGCACGGCUAUUUACACCUAGGAAGAUAUGUAAUAGAUAUUCAAUUCCUACAUGCCUCUUCAAAACCAUCCCAAGUAGAUUGAUAGUGCAGGGUUGAGCUUAAUUGCGAAACCAACUUUAUGACUACUUUUCCCAUCGAGUCGUUUGCGUGUUUUUCCCUGCCAGAAUUUCCACAUCUUUUUUUAAGCCAUAUCCAUCUGAUUGUUAUAGUUGAUUCAGUUGCUUAUGUUUAACACUUGUAGAUAAGAAUUGGCAAUUAACAAAAAUUUACUGAUAGUGGUUUUCCCAAAUGUAUCAGGAAAAGAAAGGAGUGGGAUGUGUAUGAACCCAUUGUUGAUCUUCUAUCUAGUGAGGAAGUUGAUGCUCUCGAAGCAAAAGAAGAAAGGAAUGCUCGGUAAACUGAUAAAGUUGAGGGGUAAGGUUUUAUGUCCAACCCACCCACCCCUCCCCCCCCCCCCCUCCUCUUGUUUGUACUUCUAGUUAUUUUUCUUUCCCAAGUUGGUAAGGUGCUUAUUUUCACCCCUUCCUUUGUAUUUUUAGUGAUUUUCUCUUCUUAGAGGGGUGGGGUGUAUGCUCCUCCGACUAGGUGUACUAUCUGUACUACUUUUGUCAAUUAAUAAAAUGGCCCUCGCUCUGUUGAGUUGAGGUUUUGCUAAACAAAGAAAUAGCUGUGAGGAAAAUUUAAUAGUUGUGUAUGCAUGUUGAAUAGCUUGGAGUCUCACUGUUGAAAUGUCAUGCACCUAUAAUCGACUGGCUAAGAGUCUGAAUUCUCUGACUAGUGAAACUUUGCCGUCUUUUUGACACCAAGUUUAGUUCUUCUAAUUCACUGUAGAAAUGCCCUUGGUAGAAAAUGUCAUUCAGAAUCAUGCAUAAGAUAGAUUAUUUCUCUACAUAUGUAAAACUGUAUCCUUUCCAGUAUAGUGUUCUUGCUAAGUUUAACUCCAAAAAAAUGCACUUGCUUCUUUGAGUGAAAAUUUUGCUGUCAUUUGAAACCAAGUCUGGGUCUUUUAGUUCAUUAUACAAGGUCUGCCAAGUUCCCUUGAAAGAAAAUAUCCCUUGAACUGUGUAUAAGGAAGAUUAUCUCCCAGCAUUUUACAUAUGCAACUGUAUCCUUGCCAGUAUAGUUCACAUUCCGAUUUUUAUCUCCACAAAAGGCACUUGCUUUUCCUAUUGGUCACUCAUUUCCAAUCUUGGAUUCUUUUCAUAUCAUCUUCAUUUGUCUACUUACAAUAAGUCAUUGAUAGUAUUGGACCAGUAUUGAAGGUGGUGACAAUCCAAAUCUAGUCAUGCAUGGAUAUGGGUCAUGGAGCCUGCCCAUAACUCUGUUUUUUUUUUCCUUGCUUUUGACUUCUAAAAUUGAACCUAUAAAUAAUUCUCUGCAAUUUGAGUCCAUUUGUGUGACCUCGUAAAAAGGCACCGACUGUGAGUGAUUGGUUCCAAAAGGAUCAAAUGUUGUGACUUCACAACUUGGAGGACGGUAUUCUGUACUCAAUGUACUUUUAAUAUAUAGAUCCCAGCUGCAUUAUUGUUCUAGCUCCAUUAUUUGCUUUGGACAAGCUAUAGAUGUACUCUCUGCUGUUUGCUUUUAAAAAAUAUGUUUCAGUUUCAGUGCGAUUGCAUGGCAAAUGGUUUUGUGAAAAGGUUUUCAUGACUCAUCUCUUCAUACAUGACUCAUCUUCUUCAUGAUCUUUUUCUUAUUCUCUCCACCAUCUCUACCUGUUAUCCAAAACUUAACAAUGCUUCAAAAUCCUCUGUAUUAAUGCAUAUUAGACCAUUAUGGACUUUCAUAAACUUCCUGAUAUUGAAUUUGAAUCAUCAAAAUGAAAUUCUACACACUCAUAUUUUACGACUUAUUUGUAUGUAAAGUUGUUUGUACGAUAUUUAGAGAUUUCCUCAUACCUCAUAAUAGAAAGGUAUUAUACUUGUACAAGUAAAAGCUAGUCUGUAGUAAUCAUUUGGUACACAAUGUAGUGUCUUGUCUCAAAACUAAAAUCCAAGGCGUUUCAUUCGAUUUUUAAUGCUAAACUGUUCUCUUCUCAAGAAAAUUUUUGCAAAGUGUUAUGCAUCUUGAUAUUCAGAUAAUUAGUGGGGUACAAGGAAGAGGAAGAAGUAGAAGAACUACAUUGAGAAGAAAAAUUUGAAAACCUUCCUAGUCAUUUAGACAUGUCUCUUCACCUAAACAAUCUGCAAUGUGCACCAUAUUUACAUGUUUGGCAUUAUGAGUUGACAAGACAUUUUUAUGAAUCAAACUAACUUAUGAAUGAUUGGUUCUCUAGCAGCUAGAUGAAGCACAUCAUAUUUAAUAGAAAACUAAUAUGUCUGAUUUUUUAUUACACAGCUUAAAAAAGUAGUUGGGAACUUUGUGAUAUUUUUAUGGUGGUAAAAGAAAUCAUUUGAGGACCAGAAAGAAGAGAAAGAGAUAAAGAGAUAAGGUGAAACCAGAAAACUGAAACAGGCAGAUGAGUGAGAACAAUCCUUCUAAAUUCCCAUUAAUAAUCUCACUGUAAUCUUUCAUUUAAUCACAGGGAUUCCCUAUUUUUGGACAAUUACAAUCUAAAAAACUUCCAGGCAAUGGGGGCAAUAUCACAAUCACUCCUCACAAACCCUUCUUUAGUUCUGUGUGCUCUCUUUUCCCUCAGUUGGGUUCCUUCUUGCCACCACAGUUUUUGAAGCACAAGAUCAUCAUCCCAACACAAAUCACUAUCUACAAGUAACACUUGCACACUCACCAGUGUGAUAUGCAAGCAAAACUAUGAUGACCCAAUUGGCAUACACAGAAAUACAUGCCAAUUGCUGAAGUGGAUCUUCUCUUUUUUGGGUAAUUUUCUUUUUUUGGGGGUAACUAGAAUACUAGAUAGAUACUAGGCUAAACUGGGUGAUAGCUUAGCUCCUAUUUUAUGUUAAGAAGUGAUGUUGCAGGCUGAGGAGUUGGACUUGUCCAGAAUAGACCACAUGACCUGAACAUCUUCAUAACCACAAGCCAUCACUUCACAUUGCAGAGCAGUCACACUGUUCUCAUUCCCUGUUCCACAUAAUAUUAAUGGAAUACGAUUACUCAAUGACUCAUUGAAUCUAUAUAUAGUUAUACACACACAUAUAUCUACCAUGAAGAUGUACAAUAUGAUGAUAGACAUGUAUGCAUACCUUGAAGCUGAGACUUCUUCUGGUCUCUGGUGCUUGGCUGCUGGUUGAAGACCUUGGCAGCUUUCCUGAAUGGGGUUGUGAUGGUCUUCUUCCAAGAAGCCAUAUAGAUGAUGAUGAUGAUGAUGCUUUUGAACUGGUAUUGUAUUGUAUUGUAUGAAUGUUUUGUGUUGCACAGCCUUUCUGUCUGAGCCUUAUUCAGCUUUUGCUGUAGAAGGUGAUGCUGAGGAUUUGUAUAUAUAGUGGGGAGGGUGAAGAAAGAGAGGGGCAAGAUCCGUGAGAUGGGGUACGAUUAGAAUAGAGGAACAUCACUCACUUGGUUAAAUUUUCUUUUCUUUUUUUUCUUAUCUUCAUUGAAGGUCGCCGACUGCACCAAAGCACAUGGCGCACGCUCCCACAAGGCUUAGAAUUGGAGGGAAGGGGGAGACCCUCAACACGUGAAACCCUUUACUUUUGUGAAUGUGACGUAUAUUAUGGGAUUUGCAUAAUCACAUAUAUAUUGCCCAUCUUACUCUUCUUCUUUCUCUUUCAGUGUUUGUCACAUAAGUUACAAACUUGCCUUUUCACCAAGACAAACACUACCCCAUCUCAUCAUCAUAGACACCCUUCACCUAAUUGUGGAGAUCAUUUGGUCGCUUUUGUUCAAAUUGUGUGGCUUUGAGCAUAAUUUGACAAAGUUAUUUCCAAACGUUUGAAACGAAAUCCACAUAGAAUAAUAUUACUGUGGUGUCAAGCAUUGUAGUAACUAGUGUUGAAGGUGAGUACAAGGUCGAUGUCUCCUUGAUAGUGAGGUGAGAAGAAUAUCGAUGUGAGAUUAUAUCAUUCGUAAUCAUUACUCAGUGGUCGGUAGUAGAACAAUUGAGAUUGUAGUCAAUGCAUGUGAUUGUUCAAGUAAAAGUAAUAGCAGGUAAAGAAGGGUUACGAUCAAAGAAAACAAGUUACAAAGGUCUUUUGUCAAAGUGAAUUGGAUGAUGUGUGAGACCAUUAUGUCAAAGUGUAGAUUGUUAAAGUUCAUCCGUCAACCAUGGCAAGGAAUAUGUGACUCAAUAUGGGUGGGAAAGUGUAAGGGCGAAAACUUAAUUAGAUUAUUUAGAUACGUCUGUCGUUUGAUUUAUGGUUUUUUUUUAUACGUGAUUUUAAAAACAGAUGUAAUCAUGUAAUAUUUUGAGUUAUCCUCAAAUUACCUUACAAAGAUUGAAACAUAUAAGAGAAUGUGUUCAUCAUCAUUUUCACUUCAUUAUCUCACCCAUGAAGAAAAGAUCGGAUAUAACACUGGUGCCAUUGUUAAAACAUAAUAUACAGGAAGAGCCUUUACUCUUAUACGACUACCUUCCAAUGUUCUCGUUGGAUGCUUUAAUGCCCUAUCCAUGUAUGUUUGCAAUUGGCCAAUUUCCUUGAUCUAUUUUAAGGUAUGUCAGUCUGCACUCACAUGCAUUUUGAAGUCUCAACCCAAACACUCCCAGCUCCCAUUGGUUCCCCCUUCUUCCCCAGGGACAUUUUGAAUCCUGGCUAGCUCCCACUCAUUCAUUACUGACUACUCGAUCCCCCAACCCAGUGCUUCUGCAAAUUAUUCCUGCCCUAGCUUCCCCUCAACUUAAUAGGAGAAAAGAAGGAAUCCCAGAAUAGAAAUACAUGAGUAACAUGACCAGAGGUCCACAAGCAGAGGCCUAAUUAUCCAUUUCACAGGGUAUGUGAUUCCCACAUGUUGUGCUAGGGCACAUAGAGCGAUAUCCAAGACAGCAAAAUCUACCGCAGCAGUGUCUGUUAUAUAUAUGUUCAGCUAUACCCUAAAACCAACCAUAUUGCAACUUGCGUUGUAUAGUUUAGAACUAAUCAGUAAUCUAAUGAUUAUAAUCCAUAGAUCUAUGGUUUGUGCAGAACUAGUGCUACAUAGAUCAAAGGAUCCGCAUCAAAACUUGGACUGGAUAUAAAAUUGAAGCUUAACACAUGAAUUUGUGGAAACGUUGAUUCUAAUCAUGGGUUGACAAAACAAAGCAUUUACACAUUUUGAAGAUACUUGUAUAAUAUACAAGCCAAAGUUUUAGUGUUUUGGUCUUUUAAUUGGUUAUUUAUUUUGUUACAAUGUGAUUAAACAUUAAGUAUGUUUGAACGUACGUUCUUGGUUCUUUACGUUUCAAUUUUUUGAUUAAUCAUCUCCCCCUAUAGAUACGUGACUUGAUUCAUAUACUUCACGAGUUCAAGUUAUGGGCUGUUGCAAAUUGCAAAAAUUGGUGGAAAUAGGGAGAGAAAUUAUGGCUUUGAUUAAAGAUUAAAGGUUGAUGAAAGAUUGAAAGGUCAAGACAGUUAAUUACCAACUAGAUGUUAAUACAAGAGAAUCAUACCAGUAUAAUGUUACUGCAUGUAUGUUAAUUUAGAGAAACCAUCAUUGAUCAUUGAUGAUCGAGUUAGUAAGAGCGUAGUUAGGUGGAGAACCUCAUAUUCAAGUUGAAUCCCUCAAAGUUUAUUGGAUUCUUGGUGACCAAAUUAAGAGAAGGAAACGUUCUAGCAUACCCAGGUUCGAAUCAUGUCGUAGUUGAUUGAAGUUAAAUCACAUGCAAUCUAUUCUUGGUGGUGAAGGAGAAAGAAACGUUUUGACAUUCUCAGGUUUGAGUAAUGUUGAAGUUGGUCGGAGUACUUAAAUUAAAUCACAAUCUAUUCUUGGUGGUCAAGGGUUAGGAAAUUUAUUAGCAUGACUUUCUGACACGGACUAGUCUUUCGGUCUAAAAAAAUCUUUAAGAAAACUGUGUUCUAAGAAAAAAAAAAUUAUUUAGAGAAUUUUAUCAUUUCCUAGAAUGUGUACGUGAUAAACAAUAUUUUGUAAUCAUUACAUUUACUUAUUUUCAAUGAAAAUAUUGCCAUUUUUCUUCUAGCUAGUAAUGUAAUAAGAAAACAUAAAUCUAAUGACUGAAAAACUCAAGACAUUGUCUCGGUAUCAUACUUAAAUUUUUCGGUUCGUUUAUAAUGCUAUCAUGCAACUCGAAGUCUCCAACUCUCAAGGCAAUUGUUAGAUUAUUAUUGCCAUUAACAUGCAAUAUUGAUAUAUCUUCUUUGCAAUGUGAAUUCUUUUCUAGCAAAACGAGAGGGUCAUGUUGCCAACAUUGUAAGAAAGAUCGAGAAGAAUUAUAAAACCAAGUCAAUCAAGGUCUACCUUACCCUCAUUGGGCUCUUAAAAUAAACUGUUAUAGAAACUCAAAAAUGCUCUGUGAUGUCUGACAUGGUCUGAACACUUCUCAUGAUAAUGUAUAGUUCAUGCAGUGAAAUGUGAAAUGCAUCCCCCUUCCAUCUUAUUCCUAGCUCAUUCUCUCUUCUCCUCCAUAUAUCUUUUCUGUCAUUUCAAGUUAACUCAUUAGUUAAUUUAGCCUGUGUAUUAUUCCAACCCACACAUGCUCGAUCAAUGGCAGUUUGUAUAUAUGAGAUAAAUGAUUGAAUUGUUUAGAUGAAUGGAUCUUUGAUCUGUGAUUCAAUAAUAACUAACAAGGAGGCAAGUAUGGUGGUGGAUAGUUUCACAUGUAGACAGUCUGCGUGUUAUUUGGGCACUCAUCAAUUUAUUAUGGUCGGUUUUAUUUAGAAUCUUACUGAUAAAGACGUAAAUUAUUGAAGAUCCAACAGUACAAGUAUAAUGCUACGCAUAAUGCUUGUGUCCUAGCACUGGCUAGAAAAGAAAAUGCCACGAUUGAAAAACUUAACAAACAUAUAAGAAAAACUCAUAUCAUUGGUUCUACGAUGAAAAAUACGAUAAAAAUAAUCAAAGUCUCAAACUCUGUAUUUUUUUAGCUUAACACGUAAUAUGAUUAAUAUCAUAUCGAGUCGUUAGAAUAAACUUAAUGAAAUUUUCAGAGCAAAGACUUGAAAAACUCUAAUCAUGGUACUUAAUUAAGGAUAAGAAAUAAUAGCAUUCGAAGACCUUUGGAGACAUAGGAGAGUACCGAUUACUAGUGUUCUUAACCUUAUUGGAAACAACAGAAGUAAUCGAUCGCAACCCCCACUUGGAACAGAAACCCUAUAUUCAGUAUGGUGUGGUUCAGUUGGUUAAAUCAUAGCAUGGGCAUUUUAUAAGCUUCAACUCUUUUCAUUUUUUUGGCCUCUAUCUUUAAAUUUACGUCCAUUGUUUCCUUGGUCUUUCUUGCAAUAAGAACACCAGAGAUGACCCACUUAAUAAUUGAAUUAAAAAACAAAAAUAUUAUGGUGAUAAUGAGUGGUGAAUGAGAUUUGCUGUGAUCCAUCAGAUUCAGUGGGAGAUAGAUUGGAGAUUUGGAUCUUGUUCGAGUGCCGAUGAAUAAUUAUACGUACAACCAAACCAGUACCCGAAAGCAACCCAAGCCAAACUUGGUCACCCAUUUUUGUUUUGUCCAAAAUAUAAGUGUGUACUAGUUUCUAGUUGGUUCAUUGCCUUAACUUUUAGGCUAUCAGACUCUGUGGUUCGAAGCUGCUCCACACAUUUCUGUUUGUUUGUCUCUAAAGCCACGAAGAGUGUUCCCCAGAAUUUGUCAACAUAGUGAGAUUAUAUUUCACCAAAAGUUUGUCAUCAGAUUUUCAUGAUCAUCAGUUCUGCAAGUUCAUGAAACCAUGCAUGUUUGCAUUACGAAAUAGAGGAAUCUGAAUACGUUGUAUGUAAUGGAAAUAUAUCAUCUUCAAGUAAUUCAUGAACCGACAACAUUCAGACAAUCAAUUGAUGAUAAUCGUUCAAGGACACAGGACAAGUUUACAAAGAAAUCGAUCUAUAUAUUGUCACAUCACCAUCGUCAAGAAACUGAUCUUGGAUACUUGAAACCAUUGCUGAUAAGCGCUGAGUUGGAGAUUCAUACUGGCCCGGUAUGAAUUGCUGCUAGAUGGAGGAUUCAGGAUCACCUUUCGGGUUUUUGACAAAGAUCGGAAUCCGGGUUCCGGCCUGGAAGAUAAACCUGAACCCUAAUUGAUGACAGUAUAUAUUACGUGGUAUAUAUAGUCAAGUGGUGUAUAUGCAUGUAUGCCCAAUAUACAAGACAAUUAAUUCCUAGCCUCCUCUCAUCGGACAUGAACACCCAAUUCGAAAUAUGGGACACAAGGUUAACUCAGAUCAGAAGGAACCGUUUCUGGUACAUAUAAUAAAACUAAUUAUCUAGUUAAUGCCUAGUAUAUUGGAGCAGAAGGUUAAUAUAUUGAGUUACAUACUAAACUAAUCAGCUGGUUUCAUUGAUUUAAUUAGUCAUAUGUAACUGAAUAAUUUUUUUUUUCUUGAGAAUAAAUUAGUUGCCUACGGAUGUAAAUUAUGCAGCUUAGGACUAUCUGAUAAUUAACCAUAUGGAGAACAAAAAAUGGAACAAGAACAGGUGCUAAUAAGUGUGAGCUAUUAAUAAUUCAAUAAAAAUAUCAUUAGAGAAUAUAUAUGGGGUUGCAUUACUUGCAUAGACUAUUUUUUUUUUUGGUUAAUACUUGCAUAGACUAUAAACUUCUUCAUCUACAUAUAUUUGCAUGCAUGUUGAUGUUGUCCCAGAAUGGUGCAUGUGAUCGAUCUUAUGAUUCUCUUUCUCUAUAUCUAUAAUUUUGCUUAAGAAAACGAUUGGAAAAGAAAUGAACACCAAUAAGUGUAAAAUAAAGAAUUUUGGGGGAUCAUAUAUAAUUGGCCCCUGGAAACAACUUGGAUAUAUUCCCCUAUUUUCUGGAGGAGUUUUUGGCUAAUCAAGUAGCAUAUAUAGGUCUUGCUGUGUUGUCUUGUUAACAUUACCAACCAAAUAUAUAUCUUUGGUGGGUCUUCAAGACUCAAAAGUAUCCGAUAAUUUCUCAAUAUAUAAGUUAGGCCUAAUAUGGUGCUGUUCAUUUUUUUUUUCCAGUCGCCGUGCUGUGGAUUUUGGUAGUGUUGCUGUUUAGUUUUCUAAUCUUGGUGUUUUAUCCAACAUUUCAAAGCUUAACAGAUUUGAAUUAUGGAAUAAUACCAACUUGCACGACUAGACUAGACUAGUAGUAAAAAGCUGAGGACUGGAUUCUCUUCAAACGUUCAAACUUUGAAAUUUGAAGCCUCAUUGUUUAAAUAAAUGAAGAAUCUUUGGCAUGCAAGUCUCCAGAUUAACUAAUUCAUGGUUCUGAGUAACUGAUCUGACCUUAUCGAUCGAUUAAUCGCAGCUUGAUUGUAGAGUACUAUAGACCAAAUUGUCUGGGAUUUAGAACCCCGACAGAAUUAAACUAAUAUAAACCAAACUAGGUUGAGCAUAUUACUGUGAAUGCGAACCAUGAAUUAAGGCCUAGUAGUGUUUCAUGCAUGCAGGUGCAUGGUCUCACUUCGACAUUAUAUAUAUACUCUACUAACAAAACUACUGUGGGAAUCCUAUUCUAGUUAGCAAUAAUUUAUUUCAUUUUUGUAUAGCUAAAGAGCGUUGCGUUCAAAAGAAAGCUUCUAAAUUAACUAAGGACUAAAUGACGAAGCAUGUAAAUUGAUAUGCAAGCUAAAAUUUAAAAUAUCAUUUAUCUAACCGUUUGUUUGAAAGUUCAUAUGAUGAUGAGUUUUUACUUUAAGAUCUUUAUUAAUUAGAAAGAGCCCGUAACUUUAUAAACACAAAUAUAACAUUAUGAGUAGAGACUGUUCGAGAUAUUUUAGUAAACGGUAAUAUUCAUAUAUAGUUAGAUAGAUGAUCUUACUUUUUUAAUUUUUUUUAUAUUGAAAUAGAUGAUCUACUUUGAUACUUUUGCAUAGCAUAUGAAUUAAAAUAAUUGUUUGGGUAAAAUAUUGUAUAGUUCUUAAGGUUUAAAAUUAAUAUAUGUUUAGUCCUUAUGAUUUUAUUUUAAUUUGAAUAGUCUUUAAAGUCAUAAUUUUUCAUCCAAAUAGUAUUUAUGAUUUUAUUUUAAUCUGAAUAGUCCUUAAAAUUAUGAUUUUUCAUCCAAAUAGUCCCCUUAUGGCUUUUAACUGAGAAAAUUAUUGGAAUGAUUAUUUGGAUGAAAAAUCAUGAGUUUAAGGACUAUUCAGAUUAAAAUAAAACAAUAUUUAUUUUAAGGACUAUUCAUAUUUACUUUAAGGACUAUUCAGAUUAAAAUAAAACCAUAAAGACUAUUUAGAUGAAAAAUUAUGACUUUAAGAACUAUUCAGAUUAAAAUAAAAUCACAAAGACUAAACAGAUAUCGACUGCAAACCACAAGUACUAAACAAAUUUCAAUUCUAAUUGUUUUGACACUCCAAUUAACCAGCUCCAAAGAACUAGUUGCAUGGUGGAAUAUUAGAAAGGUAGCUAGCUAGUCACAAAAGCUCGGAGGGUUCGAGUCCAUCGAUCACUAGUAUAAUGUUUAUAUAUGCACAUGGUGCAUGUAGAAGUAGAACCACCAAAGGGACUUGCGAAAAGGGAUAGGAUCUGUCCAUUCAUAUAUACAUUUAGAUGGUUCACCUUCACUAAUGAGUUAGAAAAGAAACAGAACCCGGCCAGGUGAGAAUCGAAAGAGAGAGAAGUUACUUUUAGCCUGCAGUGUUUCACUGAAAUGGACAGAGAGAAACUCAGAAACAAAUUAGAAUCCUUAAAGAGUUAGUUAAUUUUAGCAAUAAGCUGGCUUCUUCAGCAAUACUGGUUCUUCAGUCUUUACAAUAGCAUUUAUAUAUAAUAGGUUUUGGGUUUAGGGUUUAGAGUCACUUUUUAAUAUGUCUAUUUUGCUUGAUUCAGUAGCCAUGAGUUGGAGGCCAUAAGCAUUAGGUUCCUUUACCAUUAACUUUAAGAAACAAAACCAGGGGCACUGUUAUUCUUUCUUGAAUUGAGAGUAGCCAUUUUUUUUUUUGAGAAGAAAAAAAAAUUUAACAACUAGGCGCCUCUAGGACAGUCAAUAUUAAUAGUAUCUAAAUGUAACGCUUGCGCAGCCUGAGGAGGAAGCGCACCCAGCCAAAUCUUCAGAGAUUGCAAACUGUGCCCGAGAUUUGCAAGAGCAUCAGCCAAGAAAUUGGCUUAUCGGAAGGCAUGACCAAAGUUGAUAUUAUCAAACUCACUAGCAACAUGAAUGACAUCUCUGACAUGGGAUUUGAGACGCCAAGAGACUUCGCAAACAUUCUUAACGCAAUUGAUCGUUAAGAGAGAAUCUCCUUCAACCACAAUAAACUUGAAGUUGAACAUUUUGGCAAUAGCGAGACCAUCUUUAAAGGCAAAUUGAGAGUAGCCAUUGUAAGCAAACAAAGUGGUUGAUUUCUGGGUUUGACAGCAAGUUAGUGAAAAGAUAUGAAAACACUUUGUGUUACACUUAAAACCAUUUCAAGUAAAAUUGCGAUAUAUAAAGCCAUGAGCCAGGUAUAUGAGUAGAAAUUACGGUUCUCUCUACUCUCUACUCAUGCUAAUUAAUCAAGCCUCAUUCGAUGAAUCUGUAACAUCCCAACAUUUUUGAUUGAUAUAUAGAAUAUGCUUGAAUGGUAUUCUUGCACACGUACUGUGUGGCAUAUAUAUAUCAUUACGAACUGAAAAAGAAAAUUGAAUCGGCAUUCUCUUAUUGGAAAAGAAAAUUGAUCGUGCGCCAAAAUGUUGAUUCUGAUUGAUUUUCAUAGAUAAAGACAAAUGAGCAUGAAUCUGCUGCUGAUGUCUGCUUCUUUUUCAUGUAUUAAUAUGCUUCAUUUUAGACUCAAAUUAAUUUCUGGUCAUCAUUGUAAUAACAAUCUUAUGAACACACUAAACUUUAAACAAAAUCGCUUAUCCCCUAACAAACGUUAGAUGCAAGCACUUUGGAUGUAAGCUAAAGGUCCUAGAGGGGGGGUGAAUAGGCCUUUUUCAGAUUUUCGAUUGCUUCUGCAACUGAGGAUAGCAAUGACUUGUGCUAUCCCAGGUUGACAGGGUGCGAGUUGAAAUAGUAAGAGACAGUAAAAUAAACAAUGAACACAAAGAUGUUUUUUUUCUCGCAGAAACCCUGAACUCAGGGAGAAAAACUGCGUGCCCCUAACUCUUGAAGGAUAAAGCUUUCCAAUAUGUAAACCACUUCUUACACAAUAGUUGCUCUAGGGAUACAACAGCUCACUGCUAUCCUACCUAGUCUGAAUACUAGUCUAGACCGAUACUACUGGUUUCUAAGCAGCAACAAAUGAAAGUUCUUUGAGAAGUCUUGUUCCUGAAACCAACUACAGAGUAGGUGUCUCAACUUUGAACACUUCUUGGGUUGAUUGCACUACCAACAUCUCUCAUGGUAUGCAAUGAUGCAAUAAGUUCAUGAAAAGAUUUUUUCGUCCAAGCUCUAAGGUUUAUAAUCACAAGGAAGACUUAGAGCAGCAUGGACUUGCAAGCUAAAGACCAGACUCAAUAAGAAAACGUAAAGCUACUGUUUUCAACAACCACUGAGCAUAGCCAAAGCUAUAACAAUAUAUAGGCAAAAGAGACAUUAGGGAGAUGAUGUCAGCUCAUCCAUCAAGUUGUCUCAGAAAGGGUUUUGGACACAAGUAAAUAGCUGUCAUACUGAAAGUGAUGUAACCAAAGGAGAGUGGACAACAACCAACUCAAUGAGACAAAUAACCCUUUCCAAAAACAAGUUCGAUUCAAAAAGGGAGCAAUAAGGUUAUAGAACCUCUUACUCAGUCCACUAGUGGACCAUGACUCAAUCAACAGCGACUGGUCAUUGAAUCAAGCCUGGUCCAGCUUUACAUUGGUCUAUGUAUCAUAAGAACCAAGUUGGAGCCUUGGACACAAACCAUUUGGUCACGGGUUGGCAUAACAAAAGAUCUCAACCCUAGACUAGUUUGAGCGCCAAGACAAAUGCACAAUCUCAGUUGUCAGAAGAAGCUAGUUUGAAAUACCAAAGAACUUACUAAAAUAUAAUAAUAAGAACUUCUGAAACUUUAGACAACUUGAGGACUCAGAGAACAGGAUAGCAAGCGAAGCUGCUAUCCUCUGUGUAAAACAGAUGAUAUGCAGAUGCAUGAGAUACCUGAGACCAUGAGAGAUGUUCAUUGACUUCGAGCUUGUUUCUUGACAGUAGAGACAGCUCUUCAGGUGUUUUGUUGGGAUAGAAGGACUGCCAACUAUCCUUAUACCUUCAUAAGCACAUAUAAGCACUUACGCAUUUCCAUUCCCCCUCUAUAUAUAGACUGGCAGCUUAAUUAACAUCAUUAAGAAGCUGGAAACUACAUAAACUCAAAAACAUAGAGCAUGAAAGUGGUGUUCCAGCCGCUUUUUCUACAUUAGUUGGAACUAUUCGUGUGGCUUUAACUUUGAGAAUAUAAAUAUGCAUGGAGCAUCAAACUCAAAAAGAAAGACAAAAAGGGAUAUAUGUAUAUGUAAGAGUAGGGAUGUUUGCCACCAAAAGGAGUAAAAGGAAAAAAGAUCACAACAAGGUUAUGUAUAUUUAUGCUGAUGUCGUAGUGUAGUACAUCUUUUACGGUAAAACUUUAGUCCAUUGAUUAUCUAGCUAGGGAUGUGUUGAUUAAUGGGUUAAGUUAUACAAGUUUACUACAAUAUUUGUCGACAGUUCUCGCAUGAUUCUCAGAUCACAAUCGCUACGAACUUCCUGUAUGAUGACCGAUUCACUUCAAGAAAGAAUAACAAACUAAUCAUCAAACCAAGAAAGAAUCUUUAAUCACAUAGUCUACUUAAGUACUGUUUAAUUAGUGCUUGUUUCAGUUGGUGAUUAAAUGCAUGUAUUUCUCCAGUAAAUGUGCUGGUUUAUGAUUUAAUCAGUUACUAACUUUUACGUUUUGAUUGAUCGCUGUUUGAUCUAAAGAUUUAACAGAAUGAAAACCAACAACAUCAAAAGAGAACAUAUUUAAGUACGUACAAAGAGAAACUAUUCUUUGCGUUUUAUUGUCUGCAUUAUGGAAAUUAACUCACAGAUUACUGCACACUUCCAAGAAAAUUACAAGAGAUCGAAGAAGAAGAAGGGGCUGAAGGAAGGAAGCAUGACAAAAAAUAAUGGAAAGUACAAUUAACCAGCUGCUCCAAUCAAUCAAACAGUGUACUACAUUAAUCUCUAGCUUAACUGAUUGAUCAAACAGCAUGGUACUCAGCAUCCGAAACAUGCCUCUCGUAGAACCUUGCAAUGAAAGCAGUGGCCUUGCGGUCGAUCCCAGGCUCAGCAGUCCAACCGCCUCUGUCCUCAUCACUCGGACAUAUUCUUCUUCUGUAACCACCACCAUCAUCAGAGUAAGUAUCGUCGCGGCUUCCACCAGAAAAGCAAGCCUUGAACAUGUUGCAGAAGGAGAACAAGGACGUCUUUCCCAUGAUGAUGAUCUUCUGCGCUAGCUUCAAUUUCCCUAGCUGGUUUUGUUGGCUGGUUUUCUUAACAAGCAAACGUUUAUAAGCCUGUAGUACGACGCAAUGGAGUGGAAUAUAUGUGUCUAUUUAUAGUGCAAGGAAAACCACUAGAUCAUAACAUAUAGGAGUCCAGCUCAUUAGAUUGCCUUUUUUUUUUUUUGAACAGGAGCUAAUGAGAUUGCUUAAGGUUAAGAUUUACAC